ACACAUGUGUAUAGCAGAAUAGCAGACGUACUGCCAGUUGUUAGACAGGCCGGAGAGAUGCAUCUGUUGGAGCUUCAGACUAUACUCCAUUGUAUGUUAGAAGGAUUUAAGGUCAUGGGAGAGCCAAUGAUACAAAUUAAUCUUUAUAGAUAGAAUUCUAAACAUUACUGUUUUUGGCGAGAGUGAAACGGUCAGACCAUUAGUAAAAUGUUCAUUUGACAAUUCUAUAGAUAAUGGAGUCCUACACUGCUUAGUAUAUGGUAACCACGAGGAUCAAAUUUUAAUUGAAGAGAGACGAUCUCAAAAUAGUCCAAAUCGUGGUAGAAAACGUCAAAAAGUAUUGUGUCCUUAAGUUUAUACUGAAAGAUUCCGAUCCAGAUCACGUUCUCCUUCGCCUGGAGAGAAUAAUAUCCUGGCUGAAAUAGAAAAGACACAAAAUCUAGAUCCAGAUAGAGCAAUUAAUAUGGAAUGUUUGAUUCAAAAUCCAAGUAACUAUCUCGUCAAGUCUUCAUGUUUACAUAACUACGUUCAGUCAUAUGUACCAGAUGUAGUUUAUCUAAGAAAUACAACUGGAGGACGAGUAGCCAAAAUUAUAGUGGAAAUAUCUGCCUAUGAUAAAUAUGGAUCAUAUAUAUCCUUUGAAACACAUUUGAAAUGAUCUACGGAGCAGUGCUUUCAGAAGUGUAUGGUGGGUCUGUCCAAUAACCAGAAAGAAAUAGCAGGACUUGUUGUAGUGCCUGAUGGAAUGAAACUCUUAGUGGUUCAUAAAGUUGAAAAGACAAAUAAUAUGUUUUCUUAUGAAGUGAAAGAAACUGAGCUUGUCAUAUGGAGUGAAACAAAUAAACUGUUUGCGAUUAUGUUGAAAUUGAUAGAUUGUAGUUAGUGAAUAUUAAGUAAGAAAUAAAGAAAUCAUAAUUGAA